AGCGAACGCUGGCGGCAGGCCUAAUACAUGCAAGUCGAGCGCACCUUUCGGGGUGAGCGGCGGACGGGUGAGUAACGCGUGGGAAUAUGCCCUAUGGUGCGGAACAACUGAGGGAAACUUCAGCUAAUACCGCAUGUGCCCUACGGGGGAAAGAUUUAUCGCCAUAGGAGUAGCCCGCGUUGGAUUAGUUUGUUGGUGGGGUAAUGGCUCACCAAGACUACGAUCCAUAGCUGGUCUGAGAGGAUGAUCAGCCACACUGGGACUGAGACACGGCCCAGACUCCUACGGGAGGCAGCAGUAGGGAAUCUUGCGCAAUGGGCGAAAGCCUGACGCAGCCAUGCCGCGUGAAUGAUGAAGGUCUUAGGAUUGUAAAAUUCUUUCACCGGGGACGAUAAUGACGGUACCCGGAGAAGAAGCUCCGGCUAACUUCGUG
rnacentral:rRNA from 1 species